CUAAGUACCCCGAGGAAAAGAAAUCAACCGAGAUUCCGAAAGUAGCGGCGAGCGAAAUUGGACUAGCCCUUAAGCUUUAUAGGCGUUAGGUGAACAAGCUGGAAAGCUUGGCGAUACAGGGUGAUAGCCCCGUAACUGACGACGCAUAUUCAGUGAAAUCGAGUAGGGCGGGACACGUGAUAUCCUGUCUGAAUAUGGGGGGACCAUCCUCCAAGGCUAAAUACUACUGACUGACCGAUAGUGAACCAGUACCGUGAGGGAAAGGCGAAAAGAAC
rnacentral:rRNA from 1 species